rnacentral:rRNA from 1 species
CGCGGGAGAUCGCAUGGACGAGGUCCCGACGGAGCACGCCGCGUGAGCGAUGAGGCCUUCGGGUCGUAAAGCUCUGUUGUUAGGGAAGAACAAGUAUCGAUUAGCUGCUGGUACCUUGACGGUACCUAACGAGAAAGCCACGGCUAACUACGUGCCAGCAGCCGCGUAAAUA